rnacentral:lncRNA from 1 species
CCCAGGAGAACCCAUGUGUAACUCCGGCAAAACCCAACCCCCAUCUCUCCACUCCUCCUGUCUCUGAGCUCCCGGGGAUGUGCAACGAAACCGAAAGGGUUGUGAUUGAUGGCGGAAGUUUGCCGGACUUGAUGAGACGGUUGCAGUUGGGUGAGACCCAAAGCUCAGCCCCAGCGGGCCAUGACGGAGAGCGGAACCUGAGCGGCUCUCGCUCGGCGACGGACGGCAAUGCUGGAGCGCGGAGCCCCGGGCAGCACAACACCGGGACCUCGGCCGCCGACGCGCUCCCUCCCUCUCCUCCGCACACAACAAUACCAGCAGAAGCAGUAAAAUCCUAAAUAGGACACAAAAAGACACCGAGCGAGUGGCCCGGGCCGAGACGAGUGAUCUCCCUCCGAGGACGCGCUGCCUGCUGCCUGCUGCCUCCUCCUGCUGCUGUUUUUUGCACGAGAGAAGUGACUGAGCGUGAUUGAGUAAGAGCUGCGCGGCGGGGUCGCACAUAAUGGGAAUUAGCGCUCCUGAGGACCACCCGAUAAACCAUGAUAAAUGUGCGUCACCAGGCCUGUGCUCUGUAUCCUUGUGGUAACAGUACUGUUCGGAAGCAUCACCUACAGCAGAUGCAAGUGUAACUACUCAGAGAUACUGAGCGCUUACAAAGAGCUGAUCUUCACUGAGCUCCAGAACCUAAAUCUUACUGGGCCUUAUACCACAUCCAAGGAAAAGGACAGAUGUCCUUCUGGAAAGGUGCAACACAUUCUGAGGUCAAUCUAUGGCAUGACGCAGUUGUUCAAGUGCCAGAAUACAGGACGUUCGCAACAGGAGGUGGGAAAGACUGUGGAGAAGAUGGAGCAGCUAAUAAGAGCAAACUGCAGACGUGCUCAUCCGGGUAAAAGGCCAAAAAAUGAAACGUGUGAAACAGCAAGGGGCCUGAAGCGUCGAAGGAGGAAGAAAAAGAAAAUCAUUGAGGCCUUGAUAUUGUGCUGGCAGAAGUUACAGGCCAUAUAUGUUCCUAAACCAAGAAGCAGAGGGUAAUCGCAGAUUAUUUCAAACUGCAUUGUCCUCCUGCAGGGCUCAUUUAAACCCGAAACUGAAAGAAUCAUAUAGCUAAUAUAUGACUGCAACUAUGUUUAGUGUUUCCUGCCAGUGGCUUGUCGGUUAAAUGUAAGCGUCGGACGUAAGUGCUGACGUGGCCACGCUUCGUACGUUCAUGUGAUGGUUCAAAUAAAGCUAUUCAAACAUAUAUCUGAAUGUAUGCU